UACGUAGGGGACGAACGUUGUUCGGAAUCACUGGGCGUAAAGAGUACGUAGGCUGUUCAGCCAGUCAAUGGUUAAAUCUCAGGGCUCAACUCUGAGGCCACUGUUGAUACUGCUGAACUAGAGUUAAUAAUAGAGGUAGCAAGAAUUCCUGGUGGAAGGGUGAAAUCUGUAGAUAUCAGGAAGAAUACCAAGGGCGAAGGCAAGCUACUGGGUAUUAACUGACGCUGAGGUACGAAAGCUAGGGGAGCGAAUGGG
rnacentral:rRNA from 1 species